UCAACGGCAAGAGAGAAAAUUUUGCAGCAACAUUGUGCUCAGCUAUUCUGAAUCCAUCUGUGAUUUCCAUCAAGAAUUUAUUUUAAACUGCGGCAAUCCGAUCGGAUUAGAGAAAACCGUCUUUUAUGUCUAUUAUGAACAAUCCAUCGGCAUGUCUUUAAUUAUUACAAGUGACCCAUGGUCAUACAGUCGUUAUAAGAAAACUCCCAGUGCUGCAAAAUACUGC